GGGUGCCUAUACAUGCAGUCGAGCGGACAGAUGGGAGCUUGCUCCCUGAUGUUAGCGGCGGACGGGUGAGUAACACGUGGGUAACCUGCCUGUAAGACUGGGAUAACUCCGGGAAACCGGGGCUAAUACCGGAUGGUUGUUUGAACCGCAUGGUUCAGACAUAAAAGGUGGCUUCGGCUACCACUUACAGAUGGACCCGCGGCGCAUUAGCUAGUUGGUGAGGUAACGGCUCACCAAGGCGACGAUGCGUAGCCGACCUGAGAGGGUGAUCGGCCACACUGGGACUGAGACACGGCCCAGACUCCUACGGGAGGCAGCAGUAGGGAAUCUUCCGCAAUGGACGAAAGUCUGACGGAGCAACGCCGCGUGAGUGAUGAAGGUUUUCGGAUCGUAAAGCUCUGUUGUUAGGGAAGAACAAGUGCCGUUCAAAUAGGGCGGCACCUUGACGGUACCUAACCAGAAAGCCACGGCUAACUACGUGCCAGCAGCCGCGGUAAUACGUAGGUGGCAAGCGUUGUCCGGAAUUAUUGGGCGUAAAGGGCUCGCAGGCGGUUUCUUAAGUCUGAUGUGAAAGCCCCCGGCUCAACCGGGGAGGGUCAUUGGAAACUGGGGAACUUGAGUGCAGAAGAGGAGAGUGGAAUUCCACGUGUAGCGGUGAAAUGCGUAGAGAUGUGGAGGAACACCAGUGGCGAAGGCGACUCUCUGGUCUGUAACUGACGCUGAGGAGCGAA
rnacentral:rRNA from 1 species